GGAAGACGGUGGCUCAGGGGUAAAGCGUUCGCUUUGCACGCAGAAGGUCUCAAGUUCAAUUCCUGUCCUCUCCG
rnacentral:tRNA from 1 species